rnacentral:rRNA from 1 species
UGCGUAGGCGGCUUUUUAAGUCGGAUGUGAAAUCCCCGAGCUUAACUUGGGAAUUGCAUUCGAUACUGGGAAGCUAGAGUAUGGGAGAGGAUGGUAGAAUUCCAGGUGUAGCGGUGAAAUGCGUAGAGAUCUGGAGGAAUACCGAUGGCGAAGGCAGCCCCCUGGGACAAUACUGACGCUCAUGCACGAAAGCGUGGGGAGCAAACAGGAUUAGAUACCCGUGUA